GACAUUUGGUAGAGACUGUUGAAGCCACCUGGUCCCAGCAGACCCCAAAUGGUGGCCACAUUCACUGGUGCUGGGGCAAGGUCAUUAAGGGUGAAGCCUGGUGCCAGAUGUGU
rnacentral:rRNA from 1 species